CCUACGGGAGGCAGCAGUGAGGAAUAUUGGUCAAUGGCCGGGAGGCUGAACCAGCCAAGUCGCGUGAAGGAAGACGGCCCUACGGGUUGUAAACCUCUUUUAUCAGGGAGCAAAGUGCAGGUCGGGACCUGCUGUGCGUGUACCUGAAGAAAAAGCAUCGGCUAACUCCGUGCCAGCAGCCGCGGUAAUACGGAGGAUGCGAGCGUUAUCCGGAUUUAUUGGGUGUAAAGGGAGCGUAGACGGUUAGACAAGUCUGUUGUGAAAGCCCGGGGCUCAACCGCGAGAUUGCCUUGGAUACUGGCUGACUGGAGUGCAGGUGAGGUAAGCGGAAUUCGUAGUGUAGCGGUGAAAUGCGUAGAUAUUAGGAAGAACACCAGUGGCGAAGGCGGCUUGCUGGACAGUAACUGACGUUGAGGCUCGAAAGUGUGGGUAGCAAACAGGAUUAGAUACCCGUGUAGUC
rnacentral:rRNA from 1 species